UACGUAGGGUGCGAGCGUUGUCCGGAAUUAUUGGGCGUAAAGGGCUCGUAGGCGGUUUGUCACGUCGGGAGUGAAAACUCGGGGCUUAACUCCGAGCCUGCUUCCGAUACGGGCUGACUAGAGGUAUGCAGGGGAGAACGGAAUUCCUGGUGUAGCGGUGAAAUGCGCAGAUAUCAGGAGGAACACCGGUGGCGAAGGCGGGUCUCUGGGCAACAACUGACGCUGAGGAGCGAAAGCGUGGGGAGCGAACAGG
rnacentral:rRNA from 1 species